CAGCCGCCCGGUAAUACGUAGGGUGCGAGCGUUAAUCGGAUUUACUGGGCGUAAAGCGUGCGCAGGCGGCCCGUUAAGACAGGUGUGAAAUCCCUGGGCUCAACCUAGGAAUUGCGCUUGUGACUGGCGGGCUCGAGGUCGGUAGAGGGGGGUGGAAUUCCUGGUGUAGCAGUGAAAUGCGUAGAGAUCAGGAGGAACACCGAUGGCGAAGGCAGCCCCCUGGGCCUGUACUGACGCUCAUGCACGAAAGCGUGGGGAGCAAACAGGAUUAGAUACCCUGGUAGUCCACGCCCUAAACGAUGGGUACUAGCCGUUUGGUGCGCGAGAGCGCUGAGUGGCGAAGCUAACGCGUGAAGUACCCCGCCUGGGGAGUAAGGCCGCAAGGUUGAAACUUAAAGGAAUUGGCGGG
rnacentral:rRNA from 1 species